rnacentral:rRNA from 1 species
AUUGAACGCUGGCGGCAGGCCUAACACAUGCAAGUCGAGCGGAUGACGGGAGCUUGCUCCUUGAUUCAGCGGCGGACGGGUGAGUAAUACCUAGGAAUCUGCCUGAUAGUGGGGGACAACGUUUCGAAAGGAACGCUAAUACCGCAUACGGCCUACGGGAGAAAGCAGGGGACCUUCGGGCCUUGCGCUAUCAGCUGAGCCUAGGUCGGAUUAGCUAGUUGGUGAGGUAAUGGCGCACCAAGGCGACGAUCCGUAACUGGUAUGAGAGGAUGAUCAGUCACACUGGAACUGAGACACGGUCCAGACUCCUACGGGAGGCAGCAGUGGGGAAUAUUGGACAAUGGGCGAAAGCCUGAUCCAGCCAUGCCGCGUGUGUGAAGAAGGUCUUCGGAUUGUAAAGCACUUUAAGUUGGGAGGAAGGGCAGUAAGCUAAUACCUUGCUGUUUUGACGUUACCGACAGAAUAAGCACCGGCUAACUCUGUGCCAGCAGCCGCAGUAAAAC